rnacentral:misc_RNA from 1 species
GUGAAUUCGUUUUGUGGUCGCAAGACCCAACACAAUUUAUCUAUCCUUUAACACCUGUGCAUUUGUGUCGAUCGCUUUGGCGUUCGAUACGUUUACAUAUUAAAAACACCAAUUGUAACCGAUGUCAAAUUUUAUUAUAACCUUAAUA